GCCGGCGGGCCGCGCGCUAUUGUCCGGCGGGGCCGGGCCGCGGAGCGGCAGCUGCGGCAGCGGCAGGAGGAGGAGGAGGACGAGGAGGAGGAGGAAGAAGAGCAGCCGGGCCGGGCCGGGCCGGGGCAGCCGAGAGGAGCCGCCCGUGCAAGGCGGGGGGGCCGGCCGGGCCCUCGCUCUGCAGGAUGCUGCGGCGCUGAGCACGGCGGCGAUGUGACCUACAUUCCCGCGAGGAAGGUGCCCCCCGCCCCGGGCACACGCCGGCCUCACGCUGCGGCCCCGCCAUGAAGCGGCGCAGGUGAAGCGGAGGCCGUCGCCACAGCGGGCUGCGCAUGGGAGGUGGCGGGCCAUGGCCAGCUCGGCACCAUGGCUGCGCUGGACGGAGCAGGACCUGGGCAGCGGCUCCUGGGAGCCAAAGCACUGGGAGGAAGAGGAAGAGGAGGAUUUUGAGGAGCAUGUUGGCGAGAACGGCGUCAUCGGCCUGGAGGAUGCUGCGGCCRUGGCCCGUGGGCCGAGGAGCUGCCGUUUGGCGGAGGCGCUCGGCCGGCAGGUCCUGGAUCCCGCCGCGCACGCGAUGAGUUUCAGCCGCUGGAAGCUGCAGGAGUUUGGUCUGCGGGAGCCGGGCACAGACGGGGAGGACGCCGGGAGCCCGCCACUGGGGGACGGCGAGGAGCCAGGUGACGGGACGCGGGCGGACCUGGCUUACUGGCACCCGCGGCAGGACGUGACCGAAGAGGACGAGGAGCCGGGCAGCUCGGGGGACGAGGAGAGGCCGGAGGGGCCCUGGGAGGGCGAGAGUGACGGGGAGACGUACCCGGAGCUCUCCUACGAGGGCCAGUGCGGCUCCGAGUACAGCGGCAGCCCUGAGGCGCUGCCGGACGGCCCAGCUCUCCGCGGCCCCCCUGAGAAAUCGCUCAGCUUCAGCACGGACGGUGGGGAGACGUCGGCGCCAUCCGACGCCAGCCCCAGCCCUUCCCCUGCCCGCCAACAGCAGCCAGGCCACAGAGUGCCCGGUGGCACCUCCGAGAGCCCYGGCGCCGUGGUGGAGCCGGUGUCACCCUGCCCCUCGGGCAGCAGCCCCCGGCCGAGCCCGCCGGCCGGCUCCGGCCGCUGGAGCCUGAGCCGCAGCCUCCUGCUCCACCUCUCCGCCGACGACCUCCGCGACGCCACCGGCAUCGAGGCGGAGCCCUUCCCCGAGUCCGGCGCCGAGAGCAGUGGGGAGCCGCCCGGGCCAGGGCCACCGGCAGCCGCUGGGGGCUUGGUGCCCGCC
rnacentral:lncRNA from 1 species